CCUACGGGAGGCAGCAUUGGGGAUAUUGCACAAUGGGCGCAAGCCUGAUGCAGCCAUGCCGCGUGUGUGAAGAAGGCCUUCGGGUUGUAAAGCACUUUCAGCGGGGAGGAAGGCGUUAAGGUUAAUAACCUUGGCGAUUGACGUUACCCGCAGAAGAAGCACCGGCUAACUCCGUGCCAGCAGCCGCGGUAACACGGAGGGUGCAAGCGUUAAUCAGAAUUACUGGGCGUAAAGCGCACGCCGGCGGUCUGUCAAGUCGGAUGUGAAAUCCCCGGGCUCAACCUGGGAACUGCAUUCGAAACUGGCAGGCUAGAGUCUUGUAGAGGGGGGUAGAAUUCCAGGUGUAGCGGUGAAAUGCGUAGAGAUCUGGAGGAAUACCGGUGGCGAAGGCGGCCCCCUGGACAAAGACUGACGCUCAGGUGCGAAAGCGUGGGGAGCAAACAGGAUUAGAUACCCGAGUAGUC
rnacentral:rRNA from 1 species